UAUUUUCUAAGAUCAAAGCGAAGUCAACUUCGCCGACUUUUUCAAAGAUCAAAAAGUCGAUAUCGCUAAGAACUAACGCUUGUCAAAACAGAGCGACUCCGCCUCCCGCCUGUCAGCUCGAUUGACAAACAGCCAAUCGUGUUAAACCUAGUAAAUAUGCUCCAUUGACUUCAGCCAAUGAGAACGCUUGUUUUAUUCAAUCGAGGCACGUGUUUGCACCAUUGACUUUGUGUACAUGUGCUACGUCAUCGAUGUAAUAAAAUUGUAAGGGAUUAAUAUUUACACUUGCCGAUGUUUGUAAAUGUCAAUUUGUGCCAAUUAGGAUUUAUACUUUAUGACAAUAGCGGUUUAAAUGAUGUGCACUGAUGACAAAUGAACUUAAUUGGGUGUGAUUAUCGCGAAGUUAGCGAGAAGGGCAAGUGCGAAUCACAGUUCCAGUUGGUACAACGAAGAUGCAGAUAAAAAUUGGCACUGCGAAGUUUGUAGAGGUGCUAAGUUGGACAACGCCUACGCCCGUGGACAUGACCAACCAGCAAAAACAACCAAUCAUCAGAGACAUGGCUUGUCAAAUCAGCACAAGGCCGCCUUGGAAAAGACAGUUCUGAGUUCCCAGGAACCCAUGAAGAAAAUUGUACUGGCCAAACUGUCCAAGGAUGACAAGCUUGGGGUCAAGCUCCUUAAGACUGCCUACCACCUGGCCA